rnacentral:rRNA from 1 species
UACGGGAGGCAGCAGUGGGGAAUAUUGCACAAUGGGCGCAAGCCUGAUGCAGCGACGCCGCGUGGGGGAUGACGGCCUUCGGGUUGUAAACUCCUUUCGCUAGGGACGAAGCUUUUUGUGACGGUACCUAGAUAAGAAGCACCGGCUAACUACGUGCCAGCAGCCGCGGUAAUACGUAGGGUGCGAGCGUUGUCCGGAAUUACUGGGCGUAAAGGGCUCGUAGGUGGUUUGUCGCGUCGUCUGUGAAAUUCCGGGGCUUAACUCCGGGCGUGCAGGCGAUACGGGCAUAACUUGAGUACUGUAGGGGUAACUGGAAUUCCUGGUGUAGCGGUGAAAUGCGCAGAUAUCAGGAGGAACACCGAUGGCGAAGGCAGGUUACUGGGCAGUUACUGACGCUGAGGAGCGAAAGCAUGGGUAGCGAACAGGAUUAGAUACCCUGGUAGUCCAUGCCGUAAACGGUGGGCGCUAGGUGUGAGGGUCUUUUCACGACUUUCGUGCCGUAGCUAACGCAUUAAGCGCCCCGCCUGGG